AGGGUUUGAUCAUGGCUCAGGAUGAACGCUGGCGGCGUGCUUAACACAUGCAAGUCGAACGAACCUUCGGGUUAGUGGCGGACGGGUGAGUAACGCGUGAGAAUCUGCCCUCAGGAGGGGGAUAACGGUUGGAAACGACCGCUAAUACCCCAUAUGCCUAUUGGUGAAACGAAUUUCGCCUGAGGAUGAGCUCGCGUCUGAUUAGCUAGUUGGUGAGGUAAUGGCUCACCAAGGCUUCGAUCAGUAGCUGGUCUGAGAGGAUGAUCAGCCACACUGGGACUGAGACACGGCCCAGACUCCUACGGGAGGCAGCAGUGGGGAAUUUUCCGCAAUGGGCGAAAGCCUGACGGAGCAACGCCGCGUGAGGGACGAAGGCCUCUGGGCUGUAAACCUCUUUUCUCAAGGAAGAAGAUAUGACGGUACUUGAGGAAUAAGCCACGGCUAAUUCCGUGCCAGCAGCCGCGGUAAUACGGGAGUGGCAAGCGUUAUCCGGAAUUAUUGGGCGUAAAGCGUCCGCAGGCGGCUUUUCAAGUCUGCUGUUAAAGCGUGGAGCUUAACUCCAUCAUGGCAGUGGAAACUGAAAGGCUUGAGUAUGGUAGGGGCAGAGGGAAUUCCCGGUGUAGCGGUGAAAUGCGUAGAUAUCGGGAAGAACACCAGUGGCGAAGGCGCUCUGCUGGGCCAUUACUGACGCUCAUGGACGAAAGCCAGGGGAGCGAAAGGGAUUAGAUACCCCUGUAGUCCUGGCCGUAAACGAUGAACACUAGGUGUCGGGGGAAUCGACCCCUUCGGUGUCGUAGCUAACGCGUUAAGUGUUCCGCCUGGGGAGUACGCACGCAAGUGUGAAACUCAAAGGAAUUGACGGGGGCCCGCACAAGCGGUGGAGUAUGUGGUUUAAUUCGAUGCAACGCGAAGAACCUUACCAGGGUUUGACAUCCUGCGAACCUCUUAGAAAUUUGAGGGUGCCUUCGGGAAUGCAGUGACAGGUGGUGCAUGGCUGUCGUCAGCUCGUGUCGUGAGAUGUUGGGUUAAGUCCCGCAACGAGCGCAACCCACGUUUUUAGUUGCCAGCAUUUAGUUGGGCACUCUAGAAAGACCGCCGGUGAUAAACCGGAGGAAGGUGUGGAUGACGUCAAGUCAUCAUGCCCCUUACACCCUGGGCUACACACGUACUACAAUGCUACGGACAAAGGGCAGCAAACUCGCGAGAGCUAGCAAAUCCCAUAAACCGUGGCUCAGUUCAGAUCGUAGGCUGCAACUCGCCUACGUGAAGUAGGAAUCGCUAGUAAUCGCAGGUCAGCAUACUGCGGUGAAUACGUUCCCGGGCCUUGUACACACCGCCCGUCACACCAUGGAAGUUGGCCAUGCCCGAAGUCGUUACUCCAACCCUUGUGGAGGAGGACGCCGAAGGUGGGGCUAAUGACUGGGGUGAAGUCGUAACAAGGUAGCCGUA
rnacentral:rRNA from 1 species